rnacentral:rRNA from 1 species
AUUGAACGCUGGCGGCAUGCUUUACACAUGCAAGUCGAACGGUAACAGGCCGCAAGGUGCUGGCGAGUGGCGAACGGGUGAGUAAUGCAUCGGAACGUGCCCAGUCGUGGGGGAGAACGCAGCGAAAGCUGUGCUAAUACCGCAUACGAUCUAUGGAUGAAAGCGGGGGACCGUAAGGCCUCGCGCGAUUGGAGCGGCCGAUGUCAGAUUAGGUAGUUGGUGGGGUAAAGGCCUACCAAGCCGACGAUCUGUAGCUGGUCUGAGAGGACGACCAGCCACACUGGGACUGAGACACGGCCCAGACUCCUACGGGAGGCAGCAGUGGGGAAUUUUGGACAAUGGGCGCAAGCCUGAUCCAGCAAUGCCGCGUGCAGGAAGAAGGCCUUCGGGUUGUAAACUGCUUUUGUACGGAACGAAACGGUCCGGGUUAAUACCCUGGGCUAAUGACGGUACCGUAAGAAUAAGCACCGGCUAACUACGUGCCAGCCGCCGCGGUAAGAC